CCUACGGGUGGCAGCAGUGAGGAAUAUUGGUCAAUGGACGGGAGUCUGAACCAGCCAAGUAGCGUGAAGGAUGACUGCCCUAUGGGUUGUAAACUUCUUUUAUAAAGGAAUAAAACGAGGCACGUGUGCCUUUUUGCAUGUACCUUAUGAAUAAGGACCGGCUAACUCCGUGCCAGCAGCCGCGGUAAUACGGAGGAUCCGAGCGUUAUCCGGAUUUAUUGGGUUUAAAGGGAGCGUAGAUGGGUUGUUAAGGCCGUUGUGAAAGUUUGGGGCUCAACCGUGACCUUGCAGUUGAAACUGGCGGGCUUGAGUCCACUUGAGGUAGGCGGAAUUCGUGGUGUAGCGGUGAAAUGCUUAGAUAUCACGAAGAACCCCGAUUGCGAAGGCAGCUUACUGAAGUGGGACUGACGUUGAUGCUCGAAAGUGUGGGUAUCGAACAGGAUUAGAUACCCGAGUAGUC
rnacentral:rRNA from 1 species